rnacentral:rRNA from 1 species
GGUGUAGGCGGUCGUGCAAGUCGGAUGUGAAAUCCCUCGGCUCAACUGAGGAAGUGCAUUCGAAACUGCUCGACUUGAGUAUGGGAGAGGAAGGUGGAAUUCUCGGUGUAGCGGUGACAUGCGUAGAUAUCGGGAGGAACACCGGUGGCGAAGGCGGCCUUCUGGACCAAUACUGACGCUGAGACCCGAAAGCGUGGGGAGCAAACA